ACGGAGGGUGCAAGCGUUAUCCGGAUUUAUUGGGUUUAAAGGGUCCGUAGGCGGAUUUUUAAGUCAGUGGUGAAAGCCUGCAGCUCAACUGCAGAACUGCCAUUGAUACUGGAAAUCUUGAGUACGUUUGAAGUGGGCGGAAUGUGUCAUGUAGCGGUGAAAUGCAUAGAUAUGACACAGAACACCGAUUGCGAAGGCAGCUCACUAAACCGUAACUGACGCUGAGGGACGAGAGCGUGGGGAGCGAACAGG
rnacentral:rRNA from 1 species